rnacentral:tRNA from 1 species
GCCAGUGUGGUGCAGUGGUUUGAGCGUUGGACUGUAACUCUGGAGACCAGGGUUCGAAUCCUGGCUUGGGCA